rnacentral:rRNA from 1 species
CCCUUAGAUGUUCUGGGCCGCACGCGUGCUACACUGAGUGGAUCAGCGGGUCAGGUUGCGCGAAAGUGUUUCCUAAUCUUGAAAUCCGCUCGUGAUGGGGAUUGACGGUUGCAAUUUUCCGUCAUGAACGAGGAAUACCUUGUAAGCGCGGGUCAUCAUCCCGCGCUGAAUACGUCCCUGCCCUUUGUACACACCGCCCGUCGCUCCUACCGAUUGAGUGGUCCGGUGAGGCUUUGGGAUCUGAGCAAAAAGAGCGUUUCGCUCGUUUGGCUCGGAAAACUCAGUCGAACCUUAUCAUUUAGAGGAAGGAGAAGCCGUAACA